rnacentral:rRNA from 1 species
AAAGCAUUUCAUAGCAAGGGCCGGGCAAGACCGGUGCCAGCCGCCGCGGUAACACCGGCGGCUCGAGUGGUAACCGUUAUUAUUGGGUCUAAAGGGUCUGUAGCCGGCCGGAUAAGUCUCUUGAGAAAUCUGGCAGCUUAACUGUCAGGCUUUCAGGAGAUACUGUCUGGCUCGAGGCCGGGAGAGGUGAGAGGUACUUCAGGGGUAGGGGUGAAAUCUUGUAAUCCUUGAAGGACCACCAGUGGCGAAGGCGUCUCACCAGAACGGACCUGACGGCAAGGGACGAAAGCUAGGGGCACGAACCGGAUUAGAUACCCGGGUAGUCCUAGCCGUAAACGAUACUCGCUAGGUGUCGGCCACGGUGCGACCGUUGUCGGUGCCGUAGGGAAGCCGUGAAGCGA